rnacentral:lncRNA from 1 species
CUGCUAACCAUUAUGUCACACUAUCUUUUCUAAGAUGAAUAAAACCCUAUCUCACAUUUUGGAAUGAAAAAGAGUUUUAUCCCUUUGACAAGGGAUUCCUAAUUUUAAUUCAUUCAUCUCCUUCAACUAACAUUUAUUUGAUGCCUCUGACAUACAGAGCAAUCUGCUGCAAUCUGAGAAAAACCUGUCCUUAUGCACCUAAUAUUUAACAAGGCUGUAUGUUUAAAGACAAAAGAAAUAGAAAUGGAACUUUCUCAACCCCUCUAACUUUCAUUGACUCAAAUACACACAUCACUAAUGACAAACAAAUAAUAUCCUUUGUACAACUCUAAUACUACUUUGCUGACAGGUGUGAUAAAGGUUGGCACUAGAGAAAUAGCCUCAGACUGAAGAGUAUGUGAAAUUGAUCACCUCGAUGGGGGAGGGGCCCCAGGAGUGAAUUUCCUGAGGAGAGAAGACUCUGGUGAGGAGAGCAGUGAGGGUCUCUCAGUCUUGAGAUGUCGAAGAGAGAAGGUGGAUAAAGACAUUCUCCUGAGGGUUACCCAUUUUUCCUGCUGAUGACUGGAAAUCCUUCCCCUCAACACUUCACAAUUGAAGGGACUUUCUGAAGAGAAACCUGAGCAGACUUUACCUCAGUUCCUGCUGCCCAGGGGCUAACUACUUCUACAUCCAGAUUCUUGUGUCUCAUCUGCAGAAUUUACCAUCAGAGUGAAGGAAGCCACCAACAAGCAGCUUCUUGGAGCUGACAGAAAAUGGUGGGUGAAUUUGGGGUUGGCCAGUGAGAUUAGCGGGAUAGCCUUCAUACCAGCAUUCUAGGUGCUAAGAUUUCCUCCAACUAUAUCAUGUUCUAUGUUCUGAGUUCUUCCAGUGCUGAUAUUAUAGAAGGCUAUGGAAAAGUCAGGAUUGGAAAACAACUGCUUUCAAGGUUGCCCAGAGAAAAUAAAGCAGCCUGGCAUGUUGAAGAAUUCGAGAAGUUGGCAUUCUCCAGAAGAUUAAAAGAUAAUAACACUUCUAUUAGAAUCACUCGGCUACGCUGUAUUGAUCUCAUCAGGGAGGCCACUGCAGGUCUAAUAUGAACAGAGCCGUUUUAGAAUUAAUCACAGGGGUUUUUAUUACGGUUCAUAGGGCUUCUCAUUCAAAUUGCAUCGUUUGCAAUAUUUAUGACCAGGCUUGGUUGCCGUUAUUAAGUGUGAGUGGGCCGCAUGGUGCCCAGCCUGCUGGGUUACAACACAAGAGUCAUUCUUCAAAAGUAAAUCUUAUCUAAACUAUGCACAAAAAGCCAAUUACUUUUUGAUUUACAUUUUAAUUUCACAUUCUCCUUCCUCCAUCUACACAGAAGUCAGCCCCCACCUUUGAUGGGAGUAACCAUCACAGACACAUGAACUGAGCUCCCCAGGUUCCGUGGACUACGUGAGCAUGUUCGUGGAUCCCAGGCUGCCACAGAAAUAGCUGGUCAGUCGGGAGUGCUGGGGAGCAGAUUUCCUGGAAGGGAUGGAAAGUGUUCAAGGUGGGAGUGAGAACAAUGGAGUGAUGUCCUACCCUCUGGAAGGUGCACAGGGAAGAAGGAGAAGUUCUUUUCUACAUUCUGAAAAACGUCUUUGGACUGGUCAGUGGCCAAAGGAGCCAGGAGAUGAGGGGGCUGAAGCUCUAGGGAGUCAAGGAAUGCAGUUGGGUGGAAAGAACUUUAGACUUAGUAGAUGAGUUUUAGACUGGAUUUCUUUUAGAAUUUUGAACUCCAGGACUACAUUUCCCAGAAUUCCACUUUCAUCCUUACAUUUUGGACAUAAAGUUUUCUCCUACAGAGAAGGGGCUGGGAAAGCUGCCUUUACUCAGGCUUCUCCUUUUGGCUUUUUAUUUGCUCUACUUCAAGCAACUAUUAAUAAAUCUUACCAAAAAUA